CUUAAGCAUAUCAAUAAGCGGAGGAAAAGAAACUAACAAGGAUUCCCCUAGUAACGGCGAGUGAAGCGAGGAAGAGCUCAAAUUUGUAAUCUGGUGGACUCAGUCCAUCCGAGUUGUAAUCUAUAGAAGUGUUUUCCGCGCCGGACCGUGUCUAAGUCCCUUGGAACAGGGUGUCAGAGAGGGUGAGAAUCCCGUGCUUGAUACGACCACCGGUGCUAUGUGAUACACUUUCAACGAGUCGAGUUGUUUGGGAAUGCAGCUCAAAAUGGGUGGUAAAUUCCAUCUAAAGCUAAAUAUUGGCGAGAGACCGAUAGCGAACAAGUACCGUGAGGGAAAGAUGAAAAGCACUUUGGAAAGAGAGUUAAACAGUACGUGAAAUUGUUGAAAGGGAAACGAUUGAAGUCAGUCGUGCGCGCUGGGACUCAGCCGGUUCUGCCGGUGUACUUCCCAGUGUGCGGGUCAACAUCAGUUUAGAUCGCUGGAUAAGGGCAUUAGGAACGUGGCUCCCUCGGGAGUGUUAUAGCCUAGUGCCGCAUACAGUGGUUCAGACUGAGGAACGCAGCUCGCCUUUAUGGCCGGGGUUCGCCCACGUCCGAGCUUAGGAUGUUGACAUAAUGGCUUUAAACGACCCGUCUUG
rnacentral:rRNA from 1 species